AAUUUUUUAUACUGGUAACCCAACCUGUGCAAAAAUUGCCUACCCGCCAAAAAUCGGAUUAAUGUCACAUUGAUUGAAAGUAAUGUUGGUACACUAAAAACUUUACAAAAUUUUAUUUCUGCAGCGUCCAGUCACUGGUUACUUUGUUAGAAGGAAGCAUAGCCAUGGAGACCACAAGCACACCUGUUGUGGCUGCUGCCGCCGGCAAAGUUUACAAAGUGCAGCAGAGUCGAGUUGGACGCGGUGUGCCAGUUAUCCAAGAUGCCUAUACGAAGAAAUGUUCUUGCUACAGAGAUAAAACUAUUGUAUUUUGCCGAGCUUGUGGCUAUUACUGCAAUGGCCGCAUACGCCUUAAGUGUGAACAGCACCCAAGGGUUACAUUCUUGCUGGAUAUAGCAGAGUGUCCCCGCUGCAAUUCACCAUCAUUCUUGGAUGAGUACUUCAAAAAUACUUAAAUAUUAUCUAUAUUUGUCCUAUACUGAUUUUAGUAGUCUAUCAUAAGAGGUAACAUACUAAAUAAACUAGCUUUUAUUGUGACUAAUGUAAGAAGAAUGUUACAGGUGUUUAUUCAUAACAUUCAAUGUGUUGUUUUAUGUUAGAAGAAAGUUGAUAAUUUUGUUUAAGAAGUUUUAUUUUUGUUACUUUUAUGGGAUAUCAAAAUGGAAAAUAGUUAAGCCAAUUUUCUCAUUUACAUAACAGAUAGUUGUCACUGAUUAGUUACAAAACAAUACAGUUUUUUGAGAAAAACUUAACUUGUUUGUAGCUAAUGUGCAACCUUGGGUGUUGGUAGAAGAAAAUUGAAUUUUGUUCCCGUUUUGAAAUAUUCCCUCAUGUGCCAUACAAAAUUUUGUGAAUGAGAAAGAAUAAAUGACUAUAAAAAUAA